rnacentral:rRNA from 1 species
GACGAACGCUGGCGGCGUGCUUAACACAUGCAAGUCGAGCGGUAAGGCCCUUCGGGGUACACGAGCGGCGAACGGGUGAGUAACACGUGGGUGACCUGCCCUCCACUUCGGGAUAAGCCCGGGAAACUGGGUCUAAUACCGGACAGGACCAUUGCAUGCAUGUGCGGUGGUGGAAAGCCUGUGUCUUGAUUGAUGCUGGCGGUGGGGGAUGGGCCCGCGGUCUAUCAGCUUGUUGGUGGGGUGAUGGCCUACCAAGGCGACGACGGAUAGCCGGCCUGAGAGGGUGAUCGGCCACACUGGGACUGAGACACGGCCCA